AUAUUAAAUAUGCAAAUCUCAUGAUUUUCUCCAAAGAAAAUAUUUUCAUCAACAAUUGUCUUCAAAGAAGUUGGAAAUGAUUCACUUACCCAUUGCCUCAAGUUCAUGUUUUCAUUGAAAAGUUCAUUUGUUGGUCUUCUUCUUGUCAAUAUCUCUAUUAACAUUAUGCCGUAACUAUAAACAUCACCACUCGUGGACACUAUUCCCUCCGAGCCAUACUCUGGUGCAAUGUAGCCAAUGGUGCCCAAUGUGUUAGUUUGUGCCAUGGAGUUGUUUUCACCUAAAAUCUUUGAAAU
rnacentral:misc_RNA from 1 species